UUGUCAAUGUUUAUUUUGUCAACAGGUUUUACAAAUAUAUUGGAAUACAAGUUUUGUUUUGUGGAUUCAAGUUUAUAUGACAUUGUUUUGUAUUCGCUAUUAUUGUUCGACAUUGGAGGAAUUAUCGACAUAUAAACGAUGGAAGUCAUAAGUUAAAAGAAGAAGAAUACGUUUGGAUGGCAUUAGACUGGCCAUCCGCAUUGAAGGAAAUCAACGGUAUUAACUUGGAGAAUUACUUUCUACAUCAGCGUGAUUUCAAUUGUGCCGUUUACUUCCACAAGAAGUUCCAGCGUGACCGCAAAAAUAUUUGCCAGGAAAAAAUAAAGAAAGAAAAGAACAAAUGCAAACACGACAAAACUCAACAGUUCAAUACUGACUUUGAUGCUGAUAGAGAAAGGAAGACAAAUAAACUUGACGUAAACAACGAAUCAGUUUUAGAGCAAACGAUAAAGUUCGCAAAAAAUUUAGUACCCAUUGUUAUUCCGCCGAGCAGAGACAAAUCACCCACAUACUACACUGUAAAAACCGCCAAGAAAUCUAAAAGGAAAUCGAAAAAACACACUUCCAGCUGCGAACGCGAUGCUACGUAUGAAAAAGCGAAAUGUAAUAAAGUAACACAAACAUACCGUAAAGAAAAAAGUCAGUCAUAGAGAAAGUUUUAGUGUCAGGGAGUCCAAUAGCCGAUCUUCGCGCUGUAACACUUUAGAUGACAUAAACAUGAAUCAAUCGCUGAGCUGUACGAUGUCCGAAGUAUCGGAGAGAAAAUAUCGAAAAAAAGAAAUAGUCCAUAAACCGAAGUCUCGAGAUACGCGAAAGUUGAUUGUUUCAGAAUCUUUUGAAGCGCUUGCGACAGAAAAUAUAGCUGGAGAAGGAAAUAUUAAAAUACAUCUUAUGAAUAAUAGAGACAAAAACUUACUAACGGACGGUAUAAGAGACCCCUUGUUAGAUUAUAUUAAAGAUUGCUUAGUAGAAAUCAAAACUAUUGAUGUCAAAAGUGGGGUUACAGCGUUGCAACGAGCAGUGAUUAAUAACACAGAAAAACUUGACUGUAUUUUAGAAAAACUGUCAAGCAUUGAAAGAAAAUUAGAUUCUGCAUUAAGAAACGAUCAAUAUAAUCAAAAGGCAAAAUUCUCCACUCUUGAACAGCUUGGUGAAGAUUUAAUAGAAGUGAAGGAAGCAUCUGAAGAUGAGUCUCAAGAUGUAAUUAGUAAAGAUGAUAAAGUAGUUGAAUUUAUUUAUAGUGGCAGAAAGAGAACUGACAUGAGCCACGGUGAAGGAGGCAUACAGCAAACUUCAGUUGGCGUCAAAACAGACCAUGGUAACAAACAACCAACAAGAUUUUGUUGGACUGAUUCUAUUAAUAGAAAGAAAUAAGGUUUUAGAUUUAGAUUCUUGGGUUUGUUAUUUUUCUUAACAAAAUAUUGGCUAUUGUUUUGAUAUUUAGUUUAGUUCUAUAUUAAAGAUUUAUG